UUCUUCAAUUCUUUCCAAUUUCCUGUCUAAAAUUCAUUCAUACUUUCCGGUUGCUUAACUUCAAUUUUUUGGGUGAACUAAGUAGAAAUACAAGAAAAAGGUCAUUCUUUUAAUACCGUCUUUAAGUUUCUUCUAACUUGUUUUGUUUUCAUCUUUUAUGUUCAAUGGUGGUUUUUUUUGAAUCAAAGUAACAAAACACAAAUGGGUCUUGGAUUGAAAAAGGGUUUUGUUUGGGAAACUGGUGGUGGAGACUCAAAAACUUUGAAUUAACAAGCAUUAUGAUAUCUCCUCUCAAAACAGUUUCCCGGAGGUGCACCAAUAUACACUCUAGUUGUUUGUUGUCCCGAAACAAUAAUAAUCGGUUUACCUUGAGACAAAAUGGAGAUUAUCGUUACGAGCAGUUGAAGUUAAUUAAAGCAUACGAUGAAGCUCUGACGAAGUAGGGACUACCAUUAAGUUCGCAACCAAUAGACACUUCAUUCCCAUAUUUAAGAUCCAGAAACCUAUUAUUAGCUCAAAUUUCUUCAAACAGUUCAUGGCGCACAACACCUUACAUAUAUAAUUUGGUGACCCAGAUUUUCUAAUGCUUGUAAAAAAUUUCUCCCUUUGUAAUUCUCUGUGGAUACAAAAUGCAACACUUGUUUUUGUUUGCCAAGUGAUUGUAAAUUUCUGGUUAAUGUUGUGAAACAUGCAAAGAAGAAUAUGGAAAAUGGUUGUCUUAUCGAUGUACAAAAUCAACUUGCGGUGUAUUUUGCUUUUUCAGUCAGUUCGUAUGUGCAUUUUAGAUUUGCAAAGGGACCCCUUAACCACUUGUACAUGAUAAAUAUAAAAACAGUGGUAGAUAUUUCAGCCAGCCAUUAAAUUGGGUGCAACCAGAAAGCCCUAACCCUAACAUACCAAAAUGAAAAGCUUGAGAGGGAGAGAGAGACUAUCCCAGAUUUCCAAUCGGAACUUGGUUUUGUCGCCCUUGUCAACUGCAUCUGCAUACUUCAAACAUUUCUGGGUGGCGUGAGAACAAAAAUGGUGGAAAUAUCUCAAGGCCACUACAAAAAAAACCUGGAAACUUUCCGGUGUUCAACUGCGUUAUACAUUGGAGUAUUUGGUCGAACCACCCCAGCGUUUAGGAAGAUCAAAGAGAGUAUCGAAAGUGCAACAACCAAUGAAUCACCACCAGUCGUCACAAAUCGAAGAACAAAAAGAAUACUUCCAACCACCGCAAGGAAGAUUAGGAAGAGCUCUUAACACUCCAUUGCAACCAAUGUGUUCUCCACCAUAAGAAGGCAGAGGCACCUAAGAACUCGUCCUUUACUACCAAGCAGGUCACAUAUGAAUGAUAAUUUUCUUAAUUCUCCGAGGGGAUCUCUAAUGGGCUCAGCGAUAAUCGGGUACAACGAUCGCUGGUGCCAGAACACAGUGUUUCUCGGGAAAGAGUUUGGCAUGAGUCCUCUGAUUUGUGGCCUAUCUGGUGUUCUUUGGAUUCGGGUAGUUGCUGCUGGGUUUUUGAAGAAAGGUGGGUGAGUUAAGGAUUCAAAGAUGUAGACAGAAGGCUCAAAUGGUGGAAAUCCAUAACCAAGCUAGCCAACUGGAUCUGGAGUUCUUUUCUCCGGAUGAAUGGACGAACGUGCUGAUGUGUUGACCAGAUAAAUGGGGUUGGAUCAUUGUCCUGGCAAUACUGUGAAGCCAGGGGAAUUCUGAGCAGGACCGUGUGGCUUGCAAAUGUACUACUGGAGUGGAUUUAGCUCUGAAUAGGUCUAAUUUGAAGUAUAAAUGUUGUCUACUUUAGCAGGAGCUCUGAUUGUGGGAUGUUCGUGAUGAAGUUCAUCCGCCUCUUGGUUAAGAAGUUUCCAAUGCCACGGAUUAAUAUCCUGAAAACUGUUUAUCAUUGGGUGUUGGCUGUGGCGAAAUACUAAGCUCUUCAUACUGCAUACUAGCGUCUCUAAUCUGAUCCAAACAUGCUAUUAAAAAGUGAUUAGAGUAUCAAAAGUGGAUUAUUGAGCCUGUGUACAGUUUUUUUUUUGUUUUUUUUUGGUCUGGAGUACCUGCGGUCAGAAUACCGUAGGAUAGGAUGUCAGAGAUUAUGACUGGGAAUUUUUCCUUCCGAAAAUGCUAGUCUUCCCCCACUCGUUUCCCCCACUCUUAACCUAUUCAUUUGAGGGCAAUGACACUGAGUUUCUCACCACUGUUAUGAGUUAUGCCUUUAUAUCCACCUCACUAAACCAUGAGUCAUAGGCUGCCCUUAUCCAUUGGGGAUGUGGUAACUGGUAAAUAGUAAAGCAACAACACAGGUUGAAGAUAUAAAGAAAGGGGAAGUGGUCAUCUUGAACCCUAACCCUAAAAGCUUCAGAGAGAGAGCGAGAGAGAGGCAGGAUGAUCUGAAAUCAAGCAGAUCAACUGUAAGGAAGAGAGAUAUGGAAGAUGUUGGAAGAAAAGUUACGAAGUUGUUGCUGCUAAAGACUCGGGUAACACGGAAGAAGACCAAGAAGAAAAGAAAGAAGGGAAGGAGGAUAAUCAUUGGUAUGAGCGGAUUUGGAAAGGUGGUUUUCAAAAUCGAUGCAUCUAAUCCUAGAGUGAUGCAUCCGGUGUAUAUUACAUCAAACCACUGCCUCAUCAGGUGUAACUAACACACCGUCAGUGGAGAUCUAAGAAACAUUAAGGUGCCAAAGGUGGUUAUGGUGAUUGUUACUAGAGCAAUGUCGAUCUGAAAGAUGGUUUGUUGGAUAAUCGGUUGGAGGAGAAGCUAAUUAUACACCUAAAAGCUGCAUUGACUUCAGGGUUCUGAGACAGGAUUCAUUGGGAUAAGCAAGCUUGGGAGUAUACGAAAGGGCAACUUCAGGAUUUUGUGGUACUAGAUGAACGUUAUAUAAAAACCGACAGGGUUUGGAAAGAUCUUGUUACAUUUUAGACUGCUGAAGAACAUCAGGUACUUUUCGAUCACAAUAUCAAGAGCAGAAGCGAUCAAAAAGCCACACACACACAAUGGGGAGAAAAAACUUUUCUCAAUGCAAAUCUGAAAUGGUGUCAUACAGCCUGAGAAAGGUAACACUGGAUACAACACUAUUGUCAAUAUAUGCUGCACCUGGAACAGCGCCACAGGAGAACCAAGACCUAAUCUGGAUGAUGUUCUGUAGGGUCCGUCAAAGAUAGAACUUUAAACCAAAGGAAAAUGGUUUCUAUUACAUUAAUCCUCCCAGUGUUCAGGUCAAGAAUGUUGAUUAUCUACAUUCUACGAUGAGGAACACCAAGGGACCAAGCUCUUUUAAAGCUCAUGGAGGCUACUAGUUGCCGAAACUGAUGUUCAGUGAAGGCCCAAAAACCUUCUUCUACUGGUGACGACGGACGGGCCUUUGAACGUUCGACUGACAAAAUUCAAGACGAAGCUUUUUUCUACAUUGAAGUCCUUAUUUACAAUCCGCAUUCUUUAUAUGCAAGUUACUGAAUCACCCAUCCACCAACAAGUACUGGUACAAAAAAAAAGUAGAGAUGAAGGAAAAAUUACUACUGUUGGUGGGUUUUGAUUACAUUGUUUACAAGUUUUGUACAAAAAAAAAACUAGAGAUGUGGUGGGUUUUGAUUACAUUUUGUUUACAAGUUUUGUUCUACUUUUUAUGUUAAAGGAAUGUAUAUCUAAAUAAAAUAAAAUCUAACUGCUUUAAAACCUAAGUCAUAUGAGACCCC